CGUAGGGUGCGAGCGUUAAUCGGAAUUACUGGGCGUAAAGCGUGCGCAGGCGGUUUGUUAAGAUAGGCGUGAAAUCCCCGGGCUCAACCUGGGAACUGCGCUUAUGACUGGCAAGCUAGAGUACGGCAGAGGGGGGUGGAAUUCCACGUGUAGCAGUGAAAUGCGUAGAGAUGUGGAGGAACACCAAUGGCGAAGGCAGCCCCCUGGGUCGAUACUGACGCUCAUGCACGAAAGCGUGGGUAGCAAACAGGAUUAGAUACCCUGGUAGUCCACGCCCUAAACGACGUCAACUAGGUGUUGGAUGGGUAAAACCAUUUAGUACCGGAGCUAACGCGUGAAGUUGACCGCCUGGGGAGUACGGCCGCAAGGUUA
rnacentral:rRNA from 1 species